GGGGAUGCCAGGCAUCGAUAAUAAAAUUUUCUUAAAGUCUUCAGAAGUGCUCAUUAAGGGCGUCACUCUAAACCGCGCUUGAAAACAAAAUAAGCGUCAAAAACUUAUUAAGCAAAAUGACAUUUUCUUGGAAAAUGCCAGCUUUUGCAACUGUUGCCGCUUAAUAGCCGCAACCAUCCGCCCGAUCGCUGCCUAGGCAUCGGAUACGGGUGUAAUAUUUUAGGAUCGAAUAAUCGGUUGUUUUAGCCGAUUAUUUUAAAAAAUUAAAACUGGUUAACGCCGAUUUUGUUCGGUUUUUACGGUGUUAGCGAGAAAACAAAUCGAUCUAAUCUGUAAACAGAUUUUAAGAAAUUUAUUAGACAGGGGUUCAAUUCCCCUCAUCUCCACUA
rnacentral:tmRNA from 1 species